rnacentral:misc_RNA from 1 species
CUUUUUACAAUCCGCUCUUCAGUCUAGCUCAUUCUAUCCGAGGCAACGCGAGAGAUCUAUGUACGUUGUUUAGCUGGGGAAUCAGACUCCUUCCCCAACGCAGCUAUGGCCUCGCCCAGGGCCUCGCAGCCCCACUCGGACAAGCAGAAAGGCAUGAGCUUCUGCCUCUUCUACUUGGCGACCUGGAAGAGCAAAGCGGUGCUGCAGCAGGUGCUUGAGCUGGGGACGCCCAACAGGGACCCCAGCAAGAGCUUUCUCGAGUAUCUGAUGCUGGGGAAGCAUAUCGACAUGAAAGGUAUAAUUAAACACUUCAACAAGAGUCAGAGAUGGAAGAUUAGCAAGCCUCAGACGAACGACUUUGACGUGAAUUUGCUGUACCUCUGCAUAAAACACGGCUGCGAUGGCCUGGCCCCGCAUGGUGACAAGAGGUGGCAGGAAAAAGGAGAUUCGUUGGAGUACUGCAUUUCUUCCAUUAAGAAUUUCAGGAACAGCACCCUGCACAUGGUUGGCGUUGACGAGAAGACCUUCAUGGAAAAGGCUGAGGAACUGCGAGACUUGCUCAAAAACGCACUCGUGAAGUCGUAUGACUUUUACAAGCAAAAUGUCCCUCCUCGCCUUUUACAAGAACUUGACCAAGAGAUUAAUGACAUCAAAAACAACCCUUCCAGCAAAGUCGAUGAUGGCUUUCUUUUCAAUAAAUUGUGCGAGAUGGUCAAAGUCGAAGGAAAAGAAGAACUGAAGAAGAAAUACGAAGCCAUGUCAAGCAUUGGGCCAGUUACGAAUCUGCUUGGGAGAGGUGUCAGAGUGAAAGUAGACGUGGACAAGAUCUUCACCAAGAUGGAAAUAAAGAAAGAAAGUAAUUCUUCUGAGGAUAAAGAUGAAUAUGUAGAAUAUGAAGAGCUUCUUCAGUGUGUGCAGAAGAGACAAGGACAAAAGGACAACGUCGUUUUACUGGUCGAGGGACCGGCAGGGGUUGGGAAGACGACGCUCACUCGGAAGCUAAUACAUGACUGGGCCUCGGGGGAAAUGGCCAAGGAAGGUGUCCCAAACUAUGAAUUUGCGAUCCUGGCCGAGUGCAGAGACAGCACGAUCUCCUCCCUGGGACAACUUUUAAGUUCGCUUAUGCCAGAACUGAGUAAAAACGCCUCGAAUGAGGAUCUGGUCAAAUGCAUUCAGGAAAACAAGCUUCUGUUUAUUAUAGAUGGAUUGGACGAGCUCAACCCAUCUUCAAAAUUAGUUGUGAAUGAAAUAUUGAAUCUGGGAGAAACUGCUGACGUCACCGUCGUCUGCACAACUCGGCCUAACAGAGCGAGCGACUUCAAGCAAAGAGUGCCAGAGAAUUUCGCCAUCAUGCACAUCAAGGUCAUCGGGAUCGAGGAGAACAGGAGGGAAGAAUUUGUGAAAAAUUACAACAGAGCUUUGGGUGACGAAGGCCAGAGAGACAUCUCGGGUCUCCUCCAAUAUCUGAAAGAGAGUCGCUUGCAAGACCACUGGAGACUGGCUUUCAACUUGGUCCUUGUGACGAUACUGUGGCUCCGUAAACCUGAGCAAGUCAACAAACUGACGACAGCGACGGAGCUUUUCAUGGAAACACACAGGCUGUGCAAAGAGCGGCUCAGGCAAAGACUCCUCGAACAUAAAGAAACCCGCGCGAUAGACGCCCGAGAAGUAAAUGAUAAAGUUGAAAUAUUUCUAAACAAACUCCAGGAGGAAGCAUUAAUCAAUCAUUAUAAUGACAAGACGGUGCUGUCUGCAGCGUCGGUGGAACGGCUGAGGCAUGUCUGUGACUGCCUGUCCUUGCCUCACGCGGAGGUCCUGGGGUCCUUUCUCGUCCAGGCGGAUUCGGUGACGGGCGACGGCAAGGAGAAGUUCAGCUUUCCCCACAAGGGCCUGCAGGACUUUUUCAGCGCCCUUCAUGUAAGGGAAACUCUCUUAGCCAAAGAAAUAGAUAUCCUCCGUAUACUGAAUAACAUUGAAACUAUACUCUCUGACUGCAACGUUCCUGGCGAACUCAGCAAAGCUCUAGUAGGAGUAAACAAGGAAACACUGGAAAAACAAAACCGGAAAAUAUCGAAGAUAUCGCACAGUAUUCGGAGUGUCCUCGAAGACACGCUGGACAUGGCAAAAGCCUAUGACGAAACAGAGAGCCAGACAGUCAGUCUGGACUUGGUCAAAUGUCAAAACGUCUUGAUUCAUCUGACAGGACUACUCUACCUCGGAGGAAGCCCGCUGAAGAAGGACGCUUGCGCCGAACUGGUGAGCCUACUGAAAGACUCUGGCAUCAGGGACAGGACUCAGUGGCUGAGCUUGCUGUCCGAGGUCAAGUGUGACGAGACCGUCAGCAAGUGCAUCGCGCAGGCCAUGGACCUCAAGGAGGUAGAAAUAAGCGACAGCCAAGUGACCGCUUACGCGAGCGUCCUGAGACACAUGCGGCCCUCGCACGUGGAGGUAGACAUCAGCGGGGACCCGCAGGACGUCCCUCGCCUCCAGGAUCUCCUCUCCGCCAUCGAGGCAACGGACUGGAAGACGGAUCUCCGCUUCCGACAUGACUUCCGGUACAUGAGGGGCCGCAGCAGCGUCCUCGAUGAAAGGCUGAAGGAGUUCUUUGGAAGCACGCCCAACCUGGCGUGGUUCAGCGGGCGGCUGAGCGGCCCUGCGGCGGAGGCGCUGCCGCAGAGCCUGGAGUUCCUGGAGCUGGCCGUGAAGGACGACGCCCAACUACCAGUCCCUGCUGCCCUUCCUGACCUCGCUCUCCACGAAAGGAGAAGAAGACGAAGAAGCUGCCGCACCUGACCUCGCUCUCCACGAAGGAGAAGAAGAAGACGAAGAAGAAGACGCUGCCGAACCUGGAGUGGCUCGGGCUGCACGUGGCCGCAGGCAUGAGCGCCGCGCCCCUGAAGCCUCUGCCGAAGGUGGGCCGCGUCAACCUCGUCGUCGGGGGCGUGACAGGAGACACCGUCGACGGGGCUUGUCGGGUCGUCCGCGCCCUCCAGCCGAAGAGGAAGGGAUACUUCAGCCUCGCCUUCCCCGACAUCCUGCUGGAGGGGGGCGCUUGCGAUCUCCUGGUGGAGCGGCUCGCCCGUGAAAAAGUCAAGGUCACGGGCGCGCUGCGGGCGUCUCCCUCGGUCGGCCCCGAAGAGGAGGAGCGGCUGGUCGCCCUCACGAGGAAGGCCCUCGACUGCUUCUUCGCCGUGUCAGACGACAGCAUCUGGAAUCAAAAGCCAUCGGACGUUCAGAGGAGAGAGAGAGAGAGA